GACGAACGCUGGCGGUGUGCCUAAUACAUGCAAGUCGUACGCUUCUUUUUCCACCGGAGCUUGCUCCACCGGAAAAAGAGGAGUGGCGAACGGGUGAGUAACACGUGGGUAACCUGCCCAUCAGAAGGGGAUAACACUUGGAAACAGGUGCUAAUACCGUAUAACAAUCGAAACCGCAUGGUUUUGAUUUGAAAGGCGCUUUCGGGUGUCGCUGAUGGAUGGACCCGCGGUGCAUUAGCUAGUUGGUGAGGUAACGGCUCACCAAGGCCACGAUGCAUAGCCGACCUGAGAGGGUGAUCGGCCACAUUGGGACUGAGACACGGCCCAAACUCCUACGGGAGGCAGCAGUAGGGAAUCUUCGGCAAUGGACGAAAGUCUGACCGAGCAACGCCGCGUGAGUGAAGAAGGUUUUCGGAUCGUAAAACUCUGUUGUUAGAGAAGAACAAGGAUGAGAGUAACUGUUCAUCCCUUGACGGUGUCUAACCAGAAAGCCACGGCUAACUACGUGCCAGCAGCCGCGGUAA
rnacentral:rRNA from 1 species